rnacentral:lncRNA from 10 species
GUUAGUGGGUGCAGUGCACCAGCACGGCACAUGUAUAUGUAUGUAACUAACCUGCACAAUGUGCACAUGUACCCUAAAACUUAAAGUAUAAUUAAAAAAAAAAAAAAAGAAGUAAGGGAAAACGUUGAGGAGUUACAAGUAAGUUGUCCUGAAAGUGACAGACUCCUGUCAGUGGUGGGGACUCCAUGGAAGCUCAGGGUCUGGGGUGAGUCCAUCCAGAGGUGGUACAGGGGGAGAGGAGCUACAUAGAAUGGGCUGUGCUCUAUGUGCAGCCAGCACAAGACAGGAGAAGAGAGAGUGGGGGGGAUGGGGAUGAACAACAGUAUAAACAGCCAGGAUAGGAGGGCUUGGGUCUCAGGGGGUGGACAGAAACACCAGGAUGCCAGUGACCUCUAAGGGCCAUGUUCCCUCCACAGGACUAAGGACUCAGGCACUGGACAGGAUGACUGGCUCUGUCAGACCUCAGAGUACAGACUGAGCAAGAACCUCACCCACCUCAAGUAUGGGAACAUUCCCUGUAAAGUAACACUGAGCACAGCGUGUUCCUGCCAAAGCCUCCCUGCUGAGGCUGCUGAGAACUUCCUAAAUCCCUUCAAGAGUCACUGAAGGUAGACGUUGCUAUCAACCUGUACUAUAUAAGGAAACUGAGGCUCAAAGAGGUUAAGUGACAAAAAACUAAAAAUAAAUCUACCAUAUGAUCCAGCAAUCUCACUGCUGAAUAUAUGUCCAAAAGAGAGGAAUAUAUAGAAGUACAUAGAAGAUCUAUCUGCUCUGCUAUACUUGUUAUAGCAUUAUUCACAAUAGCCAAGAUAUGGAAUCACCCGAAGUGUCCAUCAAUGGAUAACUGGAUAAAGAAAAUGUGGUAUACACAAUGGAAUAUUAUGCAGCCAUAAAAAAGAAUGAGAUUCGGUCAUUGGCAGCAACAUGGAUGAACCUGAGAGACAUCAUAUUAAGUGAAAUAAGCCAAGCUCAGAAAGACAAAUAUUGCAUGUUCUCACUCAUGCAUGGGAGCUAAAAAAAUUGAUCUCAUGAAGGUAAAGAGUAGAAUGAUGAUUAACAGAGGCUACAAAAGGUAGGGAGAAGGAGGGAAUGAAGAGAGUUUGCUUAAUGGGUACAAAAAUACAGUUAGAAGGAAUAAGUUGUGGUGUUUGAUAGCUCAGCAGGGUGGCUAUAGUUAAUAACAUUUUCUAUAUCUCAGAAUACCUAGAAGAUCUAGAAUGCUCUCAACAUAAAAAUAUGAUAAAUGUUUGAGAUGAUGGAUAUUCCAAAUACCUUGAUUUGAUUAUAUAUAGUACGCAUGUAUCAGAAUAUCACAUGCUUCCCAUAAAUAUAUGCAAUUAUAAUGUAUGAAAAAUAAAUAGAUAAAUGAAACUGAGUGAGUUGCCCCCAAGUCAUACCCUGAUAAGUAGCAGAAUCUGGAUCUGAUCGUGAUUCUUUUGACUCCAAAUGCUAUUCUUCGGUAUGGUGUGCUUAGGAAUGAAUGGCAAUCAAGAGCUUACAUUUGCACCUGAGUAGUUCCUCCUAGCCAGCUAUUGUUCAUUCUGAUUGGGGUCUCUCCCACUGAUGGUCCCAGAGAUCUUCUCGUGUUCUCGUGUGUCUCCUGAGUUCCUUCCAUCAGUGCCUUGAAAACACAGACUCCCCUCAACCCCACCCCUAGACUUCGUGUCUGGAGGUUCUCACAUACUCUUUCUUCUGCCUGAAACAUUCUCUUCUCUCCCACCAUCCACUCCCUAUCUCUUCAUUUAACUUCUAUUCAUCCCUUAGGUCACAACAUGAGCACCCCAAAGAGGACUUUCUGCACCUUCCUGGCUAUUCUGAUAUUUCUAAUAUCCCCCUAUUUUAACACCACUAGAAUUUCCAAUAUUUAUUUGAUUACAUCUAUCACCAGAUAAAAGCUUCAAUAAGUCAGGACCCCUAUAUGUUUUGUUCUGCGUGUGAUUCCUCAGUACCUAAAAUAACUCAUGGCACAAAAGAGAUAUUCAAGGAAUACUGGAUGCUGGAGUCAAUGAAGACAUGAACACUGGAAGAUGUAUAAUUCAACCUUUUCAUUCUACAAUUAGAAAACCGAGGCACAGGGAAGUAAACAAAAAGCUAGUUUCCCUGGAUUCGUGAGCAUGUGUGGCAGGGUGAGUGCUAGCCACUGACCAUAUAUUCCAAGAAGUCUAGGACCCUGUACUGUCUGCAACACAGUGGAAUGGGUCAACGGUAGGCUUGCCUUGAUGCAAAGCAAGAGAUCAUUCCCACCCAAACCUGUAACCCUUGAAUGUCAAGGACCAGUCUGCUAGAAAAGUAUUUCUCAGUCAAAGCACAACCCCCCCGGCCUUGUUUUUUUUUUAGAGUGCCCAACUUUCUGAGACUCCCAGCUGGGAUGAAAGUAUGAAAUACACAGCCAUCCUAAAAGGCUCAUCCUGAGAUUGUCUCUGUGAAGGGAAACCCUUCUUUCACGAGUUGGUCCUUUAGCCCAGUGGGGCUGGCUCUGAAUCACUCCAGGUCCCCUUGUUUGUGAAGCUGGCCCUGGCCACACCAGCCUGCAGGGAUCCUUCUGUGGCUUCACUCCCAUAUUACCUAUUUUCUGUACCCUUCAUCUGGUGAUGCCCACAGACUGUCUUUGGAAUAUCUUGACUUCAGCUUGGAGAGACGUUUACACUUAUGUCAUCUUUCUUUCCAAACAGUACAAGGAUCAAGAUUUCAUAUUCGCUUACCAGAGGCUUGGAUCUUUACUUUCUUACCUAACCCAGACUCUUCAGAGAUGAACAGCAUGUUACUUCCUUACAAUAAAUGAAUAAACAGAU